rnacentral:rRNA from 1 species
GACGAACGCUGGCGGCGUGCUUAACACAAGCAAGUCGAGCGGUAAGGCCCUUUCGGGGGUACACGAGCGGCGAACGGGUGAGUAACACGUGGGUGACCUGCCCUCAGCUCUGGGAUAAGCCUGGGAAACCGGGUCUAAUACUGGAUAUGACUCCAUGACGCAUGUUGUGGGGUGGAAAGCCUUGUGCGGCUGAGGAUGGGCCCGCGGCCUAUCAGCUUGUUGGUGGGGUGAUGGCCUACCAAGGCGACGACGGGUAGCCGGCCUGAGAGGGCGACCGGCCACACUGGGACUGAGACACGGCCCAGACUCCUACGGGAGGCAGCAGUGGGGAAUAUUGGACAAUGGGCGCAAGCCUGAUCCAGCGAUGCCGCGUGUGUGAAGAAGGCCUGGCGGGUUGUAAAGCACUUUUCAGUAGGGAAGAAAGCCGAGCGCUAAUAUCACUCGGUCUUGACGUUACUUACAGAAGAAGCACCGGCUAACUCCGU